GUAGUGCUGAAGAGUCCCAAACUAGGACGAAACGGCUGUCCAGUAU
rnacentral:hammerhead_ribozyme from 1 species